CAGGGUUUCCUCUUGAUAUGGUGUGUGAAUCUCAGAACACAAAUGAGGAAAACAGCAACAGAUUUAGAUUAUCCAACUUAUAUCUUCCAUUGAGAUAUGGACUAAUUUUACUCUAUAUUGGUAUAAUAUCUCUUAUAAUUGGAUUUAAUAAUUCUUGGGAUGAGUAUGUUCGGUAUGUUGGAAUAUUUCUCUUGGUUGCAGGGGCAGCUAUUAUGGUGUUUGGCACUCUCAAAUCAAUAUUGAACGCUCUAUCCAAUCAGG